rnacentral:lncRNA from 1 species
CUCAGAAAAAUGGUGUCGACAGGAAGUUAAAGAAAGAGAUUUAUUAAAACCAGAAGAAAGAUAAUUAUCUGCCGCAGAAAAAUUUCGAACCCAAGGCUGAAUCUGAGAGUGAAAAGAUGCUGAUUUUUGCUUAUGAUUGUUACAAGGAAGGAACCAUGCAUUUGUUAUAGGAAACGAUGAAGAGGGCAUUAAACGACGAGCGAUUUGACAAGUUUGUGAUGAUAUCAAUCUGGUGAAUUCAGGAGGAUUCAACAUUGAGGCCUACCAUGAAGAGAGUGCUACAACUUAUGGAAGGAUCUAUUGAAGUCCCCUUUCCUCCAAAUCCAGCCCCUCUACCACUUUAAUUUAGAUGCAAUUUUCUUUUUCACACGGUUAGAUAUUUCAUGUAACGUUUAAUAAUCCGUCUGGUCUUCAUAUUUAGCAUCGAGUAUCCAUGUCACUCAUUUUUAAUCAUGUCUAGUUUUAAUCAAGUCUGAACACCAAUAAUUUUCUUUUACCUUCUAUUUUGAACCUAUUUUCACAAGUUAAAUGCAUCCUUAAUCUUAG